GUGGGGAAUCUUGCGCAAUGGGCGAAAGCCUGACGCAGCCAUGCCGUGUGAAUGAUGAAGGUCUUAGGAUUGUAAAAUUCUUUCACCGGGGACGAUAAUGACGGUACCCGGAGAAGAAGCUCCGGCUAACUUCGUGCCAGCAGCCGCGGUAAUACGAAGGGGGCUAGCGUUGCUCGGAAUUACUGGGCGUAAAGGGCGCGUAGGCGGACAGCUUAGUCAGAGGUGAAAGCCCAGGGCUCAACCUUGGAAUUGCCUUUGAUACUGGCUGUCUUGAGUUUGGGAGAGGUGAGUGGAACUCCGAGUGUAGAGGUGAAAUUCGUAGAUAUUCGGAAGAACACCAGUGGCGAAGGCGACUCACUGGCCCAAUACUGACGCUGAGGCGCGAAAGCGUGGGGAGCAAACAGGAUUAGAAACCCCGGUAGUCC
rnacentral:rRNA from 1 species